rnacentral:rRNA from 1 species
AUUGAACGCUGGCGGCAGGCCUAACACAUGCAAGUCGAACGGUAACAGGAAGCAGCUUGCUGCUUCGCUGACGAGUGGCGGACGGGUGAGUAAUGUCUGGGAAGCUGCCUGAUGGAGGGGGAUAACUACUGGAAACGGUAGCUAAUACCUCAUAAUGUCGCAAGACCAAAGAGGGGGACCUUCGGGCCUCUUGCCAUCGGAUGUGCCCAGAUGGGAUUAGCUUGUUGGUGGGGUAACGGCUCACCAAGGCGACGAUCCCUAGCUGGUCUGAGAGGAUGACCAGCCACACUGGGACUGAGACACGGUCCAGACUCCUACGGGAGGCAGCAGUGGGGAAUAUUGCGCAAUGGGCGCAAGCCUGAUGCAGCCAUGCCGCGUGUAUGAAGAAGGCCUUCGGGUUGUAAAGUACUUUCAGCGGGGAGGAAGGGAGUAAAGUUAAUACCUUUGCUCAUUGACGUUACCCGCAGAAGAAGCACCGGCUAACUCCGUG